GACGAACGCUGGCGGCGUGCUUAACACAUGCAAGUCGAACGGAAAGGCCCUGCUUUUGUGGGGUGCUCGAGUGGCGAACGGGUGAGUAACACGUGAGUAACCUGCCCUUGACUUUGGGAUAACUUCAGGAAACUGGGGCUAAUACCGGAUAGGAGCUCCUGCUGCAUGGUGGGGGUUGGAAAGUUUCGGCGGUUGGGGAUGGACUCGCGGCUUAUCAGCUUGUUGGUGGGGUAGUGGCUUACCAAGGCUUUGACGGGUAGCCGGCCUGAGAGGGUGACCGGCCACAUUGGGACUGAGAUACGGCCCAGACUCCUACGGGAGGCAGCAGUGGGGAAUAUUGCACAAUGGGCGGAAGCCUGAUGCAGCAACGCCGCGUGCGGGAUGACGGCCUUCGGGUUGUAAACCGCUUUCGCCUGUGACGAAGCGUGAGUGACGGUAAUGGGUAAAGAAGCACCGGCUAACUACGUGCCAGCAGCCGCGGUGAUACGUAGGGUGCGAGCGUUGUCCGGAUUUAUUGGGCGUAAAGGGCUCGUAGGUGGUUGAUCGCGUCGGAAGUGUAAUCUUGGGGCUUAACCCUGAGCGUGCUUUCGAUGCGGGUUGACUUGAGGAAGGUAGGGGAGAAUGGAAUUCCUGGUGGAGCGGUGGAAUGCGCAGAUAUCAGGAGGAACACCAGUGGCGAAGGCGGUUCUCUGGGCCUUUCCUGACGCUGAGGAGCGAAAGCGUGGGGAGCGAACAGGCUUAGAUACCCUGGUAGUCCACGCUGUAAACGGUGGGUACUAGGUGUGGGGUCCAUUCCACGGGUUCCGUGCCGUAGCUAACGCUUUAAGUACCCCGCCUGGGGAGUACGGCCGCAAGGCUAAAACUCAAAGGAAUUGACGGGGCCCCGCACAAGCGGCGGAGCAUGCGGAUUAAUUCGAUGCAACGCGUAGAACCUUACCUGGGUUUGACAUGGAUCGGGAGUGCUCAGAGAUGGGUGUGCCUCUUUUGGGGUCGGUUCACAGGUGGUGCAUGGCUGUCGUCAGCUCGUGUCGUGAGAUGUUGGGUUAAGUCCCGCAACGAGCGCAACCCUUGUUCACUGUUGCCAGCACGUUAUGGUGGGGACUCAGUGGAGACCGCCGGGGUCAACUCGGAGGAAGGUGGGGAUGACGUCAAGUCAUCAUGCCCCUUAUGCCCAGGGCUUCACGCAUGCUACAAUGGCUGGUACAGAGAGUGGCGAGCCUGUGAGGGUGAGCGAAUCUCGGAAAGCCGGUCUCAGUUCGGAUUGGGGUCUGCAACUCGACCUCAUGAAGUCGGAGUCGCUAGUAAUCGCAGAUCAGCAACGCUGCGGUGAAUACGUUCCCGGGGCU
rnacentral:rRNA from 1 species